AGCAAAUAGGUUAAGCAAUGUUUCUUAAUCAAGCUACGGAAGAUACGGCUCUUGUUCAUGACUCUCUCUCUCUCUCUCUUGGAUCAAAGACUUCUUCUCAAACAAACAUUCCUCUUCUUCAAAUCCAAUCUCCGAUGACGAGGAGUCACCGGCUGUUACCGCAGAGUUCUGCCGAUUAUUUCGCCGCCGGAUCCGGAUCUUUCGCCGCCGGAAACCUUCAUCGAUCCGCUGCUCGUCUGGCAACGAGGACGAUGCUCCUUCGCCAUCGGUGGUGAUGGACUCCGACUUCGACGCCAAGACGUUCCGCAAGAACUUGACGAGGAGCAUAACUACAAUCGCAAGCUCAUGAAGUGGUGAUGCCAAUGACGGCGAAGAAGGAGAAGGAAUUGGGUCGGCCAAAUGAGAUAGCUUACCAGAAGGAAGCAGCGAAUUGGGUGAAUCUGAUUGGGUUAGUGGAUCUGCUUUCUGGUACUACUCCCCCCUCUUCCUCCAAUUUUGUUUUAACAAAUUGGUUUUAUCAUUUAUUGUAUUAAAAACGCAUUGCUUGGUGUGGUUUUGAUGUAAAAGGUUGUGACUUUGGUUUGUUAACUUUGGUUUGUUAGGAUUCCGAUAACGUUUGAAGUGUUGGUACAGAAUCUUAGCUUUGUGCAGCAGACUGCCUUGACGGAUGAUCAGUUGCAAGCAACUGAAGCUAGUGAGAAACUUCUUAUUUUUUUAAAAAAUCAGGUUAUAUGGGUUCCUGGCAGCUUUGAGAUAGGUGUUGCUGCACAAAAGCUUGGGAAAUCAGGAAAGUUUCAUGCCGUUUUAUGUUAUCGGUGCUGUGGUAUGGCUCCCUUGAUUUAUACAAGUUUUGAUUAUAUGUGCUCAGAACGUACUUUGCUUUAUGGCUGCUGAAACAUGUUUAGUGUUUGGGUUUUGAUCUAGACUUUGUUGUGUGUUAGAUAAGAGGAGAUACUACUCAUUAUGAUGAUGUUGCCAACUCUGCUGCAUUUGUAGUACUUUCUGUUGGCAUUAAUUCAGUUUUGUUCUUGAUCAUCAUUUGCGUCAUCUGCAUAUUUUUUAAAGACGUGUAUGUAACAUUGGUUUGAAAACAGAGUCAGUGUUGUUGAUGUCAUCUUCUCUUGCAUUUAGAUUAGCUUUGCAGUAGUCAAUGUUAUCUUCUCUUGCAUUUAUAGCCUAACUUUCAAAAUCGCUCACUCU